rnacentral:rRNA from 1 species
UCUCCUGGAAAACGGGUGGUAAUGCCGGAUGCUCCGGUUGGAUGCAUGUCCUUCCGGGAAAGGUUCCAUCGGUAUGGGAUGGGGUCGCGUCCUAUCAGCUUGAUGGCGGGGUAACGGCCCACCAUGGCUUCGACGGGUAGCCGGCCUGAGAGGGCGACCGGCCACAUUGGGACUGAGAUACGGCCCAGACUCCUACGGGAGGCAGCAGUGGGGAAUAUUGCACAAUGGGCGCAAGCCUGAUGCAGCGACGCCGCGUGCGGGAUGGAGGCCUUCGGGUUGUAAACCGCUUUUGAUCGGGAGCAAGCCCUUCGGGGUGAGUGUACCUUUCGAAUAAGCACCGGCUAACUACGUGCCAGCAGCCGCGGUAAUACGUAGGGUGCAAGCGUUAUCCGGAAUUAUUGGGCGUAAAGGGCUCGUAGGCGGUUCGUCGCGUCCGGUGUGAAAGCCCAUCGCUUAACGGUGGGUCUGCGCCGGGUACGGGCGGGCUGGAGUGCGGUAGGGGAGACUGGAAUUCCCGGUGUAACGGUGGAAUGUGUAGAUAUCGGGAAGAACACCA